AACGCGAAGAACCUUACCUGGGCUCGAACGGCUUCUCAACGGUCGUGGAAACAUGGCUAUCCCGCAAGGGAGUGGAGUCGAGGUGCUGCAUGGCUGUCGUCAGCUCGUGUCGUGAGAUGUUGGGUUAAGUCCCGCAACGAGCGCAACCCUUGUCCUGUGUUGCAACGCUCCGCAAGGAGUGGCACUCUCAGGAGACCGCCAGCGAUAAGCUGGAGGAAGGUGGGGAUGACGUCAAGUCAUCAUGGCCUUUAUGUCCAGGGCUACACACGUGCUACAAUGGGCGGUACAAAUCGGCGCUAACCCGCGAGGGGGAGCAAAUCGCAAAAAACCGCUCUCAGUUCGGAUUGCAGGCUGCAACCCGCCUGCAUGAAGCUGGAAUCGCUAGUAAUGGCGCAUCAGAACGGCGCCGUGAAUACGUUCCCGGGCCUUGUACACACCGGCUAC
rnacentral:rRNA from 1 species